rnacentral:rRNA from 1 species
AUUGAACGCUGGCGGCAGGCCUAACACAUACAAGUCGAGCGGCAGCGGGAAAGUAGCUUGCUACUUUUGCCGGCGAGCGGCGGACGGGUGAGUAAUGCCUGGGGAUCUGCCCAGUCGAGGGGGAUAACAGUUGGAAACGACUGCUAAUACCGCAUACGCCCUACGGGGGAAAGGAGGGGACCUUCGGGCCUUUCGCGAUUGGAUGAACCCAGGUGGGAUUAGCUAGUUGGUGGGGUAAUGGCUCACCAAGGCGACGAUCCCUAGCUGGUCUGAGAGGAUGAUCAGCCACACUGGAACUGAGACACGGUCAGACUCCUACGGGAGGCAGCAGUGGGGAAUAUUGCACAAUGGGGGAAACCCUGAUGCAGCCAUGCCGCGUGUGUGAAGAAGGCCUUCGGGUUGUAAAGCACUUUCAGCGAGGAGGAAAGGUUGUUGGCUAAUACCCAGCAACUGUGACGUUACUCGCAGAAGAAGCACCGGCUAACUCCGUGCCAGCAGCCGCGGUAA